rnacentral:rRNA from 1 species
GAUGAACGCUGGCGGCGUGCUUAACACAUGCAAGUCGAGCGAGAAAAGUUCUUCGGAGCUUUUCUAGCGGCGGACGGGUGAGUAACACGUGGGCAACCUGCCUCAUAGAGGGGAAUAGCCUUCCGAAAGGAAGAUUAAUACCGCAUAAUAUUGUUGAAAGGCAUCUUUUAACAAUCAAAGGAGCAAUCCGCUAUGAGAUGGGCCCGCGGCGCAUUAGCUAGUUGGUGAGGUAACGGCUCACCAAGGCGACGAUGCGUAGCCGACCUGAGAGGGGGAGCGGCCACAUUGGAACUGAGACACGGUCCAGACUCCUACGGGGGGCAGCAGUGGGGAAGAUUGCACAAUGGGGGAAAGCCUGAUGCAGCGACGCCGCGUGAGUGAUGAAGGUCUUCGGAUUGUAAAGCUCUGUCUUUAGGGACGAUAAUGACGGUACCUAAGGAGGAAGCCACGGCUAACUACGUGCCAGCCGCCGCCGUAA